CCUACGGGAGGCAGCAGUGGGGAAUAUUGCACAAUGGGGGAAACCCUGAUGCAGCGACGCCGCGUGAGUGAAGAAGUAUUUCGGUAUGUAAAGCUCUAUCAGCAGGGAAGAAAAUGACGGUACCUGACUAAGAAGCCCCGGCUAACUACGUGCCAGCAGCCGCGGUAAUACGUAGGGGGCAAGCGUUAUCCGGAUUUACUGGGUGUAAAGGGAGCGUAGGUGGCAUGGUAAGCCAGAAGUGAAAACCCAGGGCUCAACUCUGUGGAUUGCUUUUGGAACUAUCAGGCUAGAGGGCUGGAGGGGUAAGCGGAAUGCCUAGUGUAGCGGGGAAAUGCGUAGAUAUUAGGAGGAACACCGGUGGCGAAGGCGGCUUACUGGACAGAAACUGACACUGAGGCUCGAAAGCGUGGGGAGCAAACAGGAUUAGAUACCCCAGUAGUC
rnacentral:rRNA from 1 species